rnacentral:pre_miRNA from 1 species
AGCAAGUUUCCGUGCUGAAAUUUCGUCAUACACCGGACCAUAAGGGCUGAUGAGACUCCCAAGAUAAGUGAAGCU